rnacentral:rRNA from 1 species
UUCAUAAGCCCNUUCGUGUAGAAAGUCUAUGAAUGNUUUUAUUAUAAUCGACUCGCGACUUNUAGGAGACGNGAUUCUUNGAGACAAAAGUNAUUACAACUUUCAGCAAUGGAUCUCUUGGCUCUCGCAUCGAUGAAGAACGCAGCGAAUCGCGAUAUGUAAUGUGAAUUGCAGAUCUACAGUGAAUCAUCGAAUCUUUGAACGCACCUUGCGCUUAUCGGUGUUCCGAUGAGCAUGCCUGUUUGAGCGUCAUUAAAUUCUCAACCCCUCUCGAUUUGCUUCGAGAGGGUGCUUGGAUUGUGGAGGCUGCCGGAGACCUGUUUUUUCAGGACUCGGGCUCCUCUGAAAUGUAUUGGCUUGCGGUCGACUUUCGACUGUGCAUGACAAGGCCUUUGGCGUGAUAAUGAUCGCCGCUCGCCGAAGUGCACGAACGAAUGGUCUCGUGCCUCUAAUCAGUCGAUGUCUUUUCGAAGGCGUCUUCCUUAUUGACGUUGACCUCAAAUCAGGUAG